rnacentral:lncRNA from 1 species
CUCGCGAAGGCUGGACCAAAUCAGGGGCCUAAGAGCGCCGCUUUCUGUGAGGGGUCCCCAGCUGAGGAGCCGGACAUCAAGAAGCAAAGACAAAGCAGAGUGUGGUGGCACAUCCAUGUAGCCCCAGGACUCAGGAGCUGAGGCAAGAGGAUCACUUGAGCCUGAGAAUCCCUUUCCAGUCCGAGCAACAUAGCAGACUCCAUUUCCAAACAAAAACAAGGACAUCAAGCAACCAAGAAAGAAAGACGAGGGGUGGAGGGAAGAAGAGAGAGUCGCCACUUAACAGCAAAUCAGCAUGGCAGGGGAUACCCCAGCCAUGUCCCAGGGGAGCUCCAAGAACCCCAGGAGUAGAGCAGGAUCUCAAAGAGCUACAGCAUCAUCUCAGACAGCCAAUUACUUCUGCUCCUGCAAUCCCUCUUCCAAGUCUGGGGCCACUGACAGCCUGACACAGAUGAGGCAGGGAAUGUAGAGAAUUCUGGGUUUAAUGAGAUGUCACCCUACGAAUGCC